rnacentral:rRNA from 1 species
GACGAACGCUGGCGGCGUGCUUAACACAUGCAAGUCGAACGAAGUGGCGAACGGGUGUGUAAUACGUGGGUAACCUGCCCUCCUUUUUGGGAUAAGCCUUGGAAACGGGGUCUAAUACCGAAUAAAGGGGGUUGGGCUCGCGGCCUAUCAGCUUGGUGGUGGGGUGAUGGCCUACCAAGGCGGUGACGGUUAGCCGGCAUGAGCGGGUGACCGGGAACAUAGGGACUGAGAUGCGGCCCAGACUCGUACGGGGUGCAGAAGUGGGCGAUAUGGCAGAAUGGGUGAAAGAGUGAUGCAGCGACGCCGCGUGAGGGCUGAGGGCUUUCGGGUUGUAAAAGUGUGUCGGAAUGGAACGGGUAGGUGGAGAAGAAGCGCCGGCUAACUACGUGCCAGCAGCCGCGGUAAUAC